UCCAUUCAUGUCAGUGCAAAAUGAGAAAACUUCUCACUUGAUUUAUUACCUCAGAAUUUUUUUAGGACAACACUACAGUCUCAAUCACUAGCAAAAAAUCUUCUUCAAGACAAUUUGAUGUUAAUAGUUCAAAUAAUGGCCCCAUUUAGAAGAAAAUAGAUGAAAAAGAAUCAUAUGAUUUGAGGCGUGGCUACCUUUGAUUGACAGGUCACUAACAAGGCGAGCCGUCAUCAGGAGAGAAGCGGAACAAUGCGUAUCCACGGCAACGUGUCAAUAAAGAUAUAUAUAAUGUUAUAUAGAUAGAAAAAAGGACGUUUAGCGGUUUGGUCUCAUAACUUUGACCCUUUCACUGUAUUUUCACUUAAUGACAGUUUAUUUGAACGUUUUGUUCAGUAAAAAUGUCUUGUUCAGCGUUUGGUUGGACUAACAGAAACUCCAAGGAGUCGCCGUUAUUUUUUCUUAGUUAAGUAACGUACAUUUUGUUUUUUGCUAGCAAAAACUAACAUCCUAGUUAAUACUAACAUGAAUUAGCAGCGACUUCUCUCAGUCAGGUUGAGAUGUAGAGAGGCUGUAGUCAGUGAUCAGAUCCCUCUCACUCCUCCACAGUCCAGAUAUGGUCUGGUCCCCGUAUCAGAAACAAGAUGGCGACGCAAGAUGGUGACGAGUGUAACGCUGAACUCGAUGCUUCCAACGGGCCACAAACCAAUGGGUGACAUCACAGUGACUACAUCCAUUAUAUCAGGAUGUUUGGCCGUGUGUUGGAGCUCUCUGCACGUGCUCUGACUGUUAUAGGCAAGGAAGCAGAAACCACAUGUCACAUUCUUCCUGAGCUUCUGGAGAUACAAACACCCUCUGCUGAUUGAAAAUUAAACUACAGGACACUGCACACUGUUCUGUCAGUGAGAUUUUACAUUGAAUGUAUUGAAUGUAUGGCACUGUACUAUUUUGUUGUCUACAUGUACAUGUGCUACACAAAACAUUGGGAUCCUCCAAGAUUUUGUAUGAUUAAAUGAUUUGUAUGAUUU